UUGGAGGGCAAGUCUGGUGCCAGCAGCCGCAGUAAUUCCAGCUCCAAUAGCGUAUAUUAAAGUUGUUGCAGUUAAAAAGCUCGUAGUUGAAUUUCGGGAUCAAUAUUUCGGUCAUGCCGUUGGUAUGCACUGUUAUCAUUGAUUUCUCACCUUCUAAAGAACCGUAAUGCCAUUAAUUUGGUGUUACGGGGAAUUAGGACUGUUACCUUGAAAAAAUUAGAGUGUUUAAAGCAGGCUCACGCUUGAAUACAUUAGCAUGGAAUAAUGAAAUAGGACAUCCGAUUCUAUUUUGUUGGUUUCUAGGAUCGAUGUAAUGAUUAAUAGGGAUAGUUGGGGGCAUUAGUAUUCAAUUGUCAGAGGUGAAAUUCUUGGAUUUAUUGAAGACUAACUACUGCGAAAGCAUUUGCCAAGGAUGUUUUCAUUAAUCAAGAACGAAAGUUAGGGGAUCGAAGACGAUCAGAUACCGUCGUAGUCUUAACCAUAAACUAUGCCGACUAGGGAUCGGAUGAUGUUAAUUUAUUAAUGACUCAUUCGGCACCUUACGGGAAAC
rnacentral:rRNA from 1 species